rnacentral:rRNA from 1 species
UCCCCUAGUAACUGCGAGUGAAGCGGGAAAAGCUCAAAUUUGAAAUCUGGCAGUUUUUGACUGUCCGAGUUGUAAUCUAGAGAAGUGUUACCUGUGCUGGACCGUGUACAAGUCUCCUGGAAUGGAGCAUCAUAGAGGGUGAGAAUCCCGUCUUUGACAUGGACUACCUGUACAUUAUGGUGUGCUCUCAAAGAGUCGAGUUGUUUGGGAAUGCAGCUCAAAAUGGGUGGUAAAUGCCAUCUAAAGCUAAAUAUUGGCGAGAGACCGAUAGCGAACAAGUACCGUGAGGGAAAGAUGAAAAGAACUUUGGAAAGAGAGUUAAACAGUACGUGAAAUUGCUGAAAGGGAAACGCUUGAAGUCAGUCGCGUUGGCUAGAAAUCAGCCUUGCUUUUGCUUGUUGUACUUUCUGGUUGACGGGUCAGCAUCAAUUUUGACCACUGGAUAAAGUCUUUGGGAAUGUGGCAUCUUCGGAUGUGUUAUAGCCCAUUGUCACAUACAGUGGUUGGGAUUGAGGAACUCAGCACGGCCGCAAGGCUUCGGGUUUCGACCACGUUCGUGCUUAGGAUGCUGGCAUAAUGGCUUUAAUCGACCCGUCUUGAAACACGGACCAAGGAGUCUAACAUGCCUGCGAGUGUUUGGGUGGAAAACCCAUGCGCGCAAUGAAAGUGAAAGUUGAGAUCCCUUUCAAAGGGGAGCAUUGACGCCCGGACCAGACCUUUUGUGACGGAUCCGCGGUAGAGCAUGUAUGUUGGGACCCGAAAGAUGGUGAACUAUGCCUGAAUAGGGUGAAGCCAGAGGAAACUCUGGUGGAGGCUCGUAGCGAUUCUGACGUGCAAAUCGAUCGUC